rnacentral:rRNA from 1 species
AUUGAACGCUGGCGGCAGGCCUAACACAUGCAAGUCGAACGAGUGGCGGACGGGUGAGUAAUGUCUGGGAAACUGCCUGAUGGAGGGGGAUAACUACUGGAAACGGUAGCUAAUACCGCAUACCAUCAGAUGUGCCCAGAUGGGAUUAGCUAGUAGGUGGGGUAACGGCUCACCAAGGCGACGAUCCCUAGCUGGUCUGAGAGGAUGACCAGCCACACUGGAACUGAGACAAGGCCCAGACUCCGACGGGAGGCAGCAGUGGGGAAUAUUGCACAAUGGGCGCAAGCCUGAUGCAGCCAUGCCGCGUGUAUGAAGAAGGCCUUCGGGUUGGAAAGUACUUUCAGCGGGGAGGCGUUACCCGCAGAAGAAGCACCGGCUAACUCCGUGCCAGCAGCCGCGGUAAUAC